rnacentral:rRNA from 1 species
CCGUAGAGUUUGAUCCUGGCUCAGAUUGAACGCUGGCGGCAGGCCUAACACAUGCAAGUCGAGCGGAAACGAGUUAUCUGAACCUUCGGGGAACGAUAACGGCGUCGAGCGGCGGACGGGUGAGUAAUGCCUAGGAAAUUGCCCUGAUGUGGGGGAUAACCAUUGGAAACGAUGGCUAAUACCGCAUGAUGCCUACGGGCCAAAGAGGGGGACCUUCGGGCCUCUCGCGUCAGGAUAUGCCUAGGUGGGAUUAGCUAGUUGGUGAGGUAAGGGCUCACCAAGGCGACGAUCCCUAGCUGGUCUGAGAGGAUGAUCAGCCACACUGGAACUGAGACACGGUCCAGACUCCUACGGGAGGCAGCAGUGGGGAAUAUUGCACAAUGGGCGCAAGCCUGAUGCAGCCAUGCCGCGUGUGUGAAGAAGGCCUUCGGGUUGUAAAGCACUUUCAGUCGUGAGGAAGGUGGUGUAGUUAAUAGCUGCAUUAUUUGACGUUAGCGACAGAAGAAGCACCGGCUAACUCCGUGCCAGCAGCCGCGGUAAUACGGAGGGUGCGAGCGUUAAUCGGAAUUACUGGGCGUAAAGCGCAUGCAGGUGGUUUGUUAAGUCAGAUGUGAAAGCCCGGGGCUCAACCUCGGAAUAGCAUUUGAAACUGGCAGACUAGAGUACUGUAGAGGGGGGUAGAAUUUCAGGUGUAGCGGUGAAAUGCGUAGAGAUCUGAAGGAAUACCGGUGGCGAAGGCGGCCCCCUGGACAGAUACUGACACUCAGAUGCGAAAGCGUGGGGAGCAAACAGGAUUAGAUACCCUGGUAGUCCACGCCGUAAACGAUGUCUACUUGGAGGUUGUGGCCUUGAGCCGUGGCUUUCGGAGCUAACGCGUUAAGUAGACCGCCUGGGGAGUACGGUCGCAAGAUUAAAACUCAAAUGAAUUGACGGGGGCCCGCACAAGCGGUGGAGCAUGUGGUUUAAUUCGAUGCAACGCGAAGAACCUUACCUACUCUUGACAUCCAGAGAACUUUCCAGAGAUGGAUUGGUGCCUUCGGGAACUCUGAGACAGGUGCUGCAUGGCUGUCGUCAGCUCGUGUUGUGAAAUGUUGGGUUAAGUCCCGCAACGAGCGCAACCCUUAUCCUUGUUUGCCAGCGAGUAAUGUCGGGAACUCCAGGGAGACUGCCGGUGAUAAACCGGAGGAAGGUGGGGACGACGUCAAGUCAUCAUGGCCCUUACGAGUAGGGCUACACACGUGCUACAAUGGCGCAUACAGAGGGCGGCCAACUUGCGAAAGUGAGCGAAUCCCAAAAAGUGCGUCGUAGUCCGGAUUGGAGUCUGCAACUCGACUCCAUGAAGUCGGAAUCGCUAGUAAUCGUGGAUCAGAAUGCCACGGUGAAUACGUUCCCGGGCCUUGUACACACCGCCCGUCACACCAUGGGAGUGGGCUG